rnacentral:piRNA from 1 species
UCUCCUGGCUCUUCACUACAGAGGGCUUGAA